rnacentral:rRNA from 1 species
GACGUAGGGCGCGAGCGUUGUCCGGAUUUAUUGGGCGUAAAGAGCUCGUAGGCGGCUUGUCGCGUCGACUGUGAAAUCCCGCGGCUCAACUGCGGGUCUGCAGUCGAUACGGGCAGGCGUAGAGUUCGGUAGGGGAGACUGGAAUUCCUGGUGUAGCGGUGAAAUGUGCAGAUAUCAGGAGGAACACCGAGUGGCGAAGGCAGGUCUCUGGGCAUUAACUGACGCUGAGGAGCGAAAGCAUGGGGAGCGAACAGG